rnacentral:rRNA from 1 species
AGUGAACGCUGGCGGUAGGCCUAACACAUGCAAGUCGAACGGCAGCACAGGAGAGCUUGCUCUCUGGGUGGCGAGUGGCGGACGGGUGAGGAAUACAUCGGAAUCUACUCUGUCGUGGGGGAUAACGUAGGGAAACUUACGCUAAUACCGCAUACGACCUACGGGUGAAAGCAGGGGAUCUUCGGACCUUGCGCGAUUGAAUGAGCCGAUGUCGGAUUAGCUAGUUGGCGGGGUAAAGGCCCACCAAGGCGACGAUCCGUAGCUGGUCUGAGAGGAGGAUCAGCCACACUGGAACUGAGACACGGUCCAGACUCCUACGGGAGGCAGCAGUGGGGAAUAUUGGACAAUGGGCGCAAGCCUGAUCCAGCCAUACCGCGUGGGUGAAGAAGGCCUUCGGGUUGUAAAGCCCUUUUGUUGGGAAAGAAAUCCAGCUGGCUAAUACCCGGUUGGGAUGACGGUACCCAAAGAGUAAGCACCGACUAACUUCGUGCCAGCAGCCGCCGUAA